UAAAAAGUUAAUUAAGAUGAAUCUGUUAGCCCAGCAGAGCAGUGGCUGUGGGAAGGUGAGCAGCCCCUGCUCCUUGGCUUUGCUGUGCCGUGGCAGGCACUGCUAGCUGUGGGUCUGACCCGGGCUGCACUGCUGUCUGAAAGCUGCCUCUAGCAUGUACGGGCUUAAAUAAACAUGUGUAAAGAAGGUUAAAUGAGCCUUGUUGGAGACUGUUGCUGGCAGAAGGAAGAAGGAUAUAAUCAAUUUAAUUUAGUGGUUAUGUUUGUCUUGGGACACCAGGAAACGUGCUGGAGUCUGAGGCUUCAUACGAUGUCGGAUCCUGUAAAAAUCCACCCGGUAUUUGGAGACGCGCAAAGCCCAUCGCUUGUUUUACAGGCAGCGCCUUGUCCUCCAGCCGGCCGCACGGUGGCAGAAGAAGCAAAGAACACAUUUAAAAUAAAUGUUUAAAGGAAACAAGCCCAGCACGCGGUGAGGGUCAGUGUGUGUGCCGGAGGGCAGCCCGGACCCGCCUGCUGGGGCACCUGCCAGGGA